AGCCAGGUACAUGUCCUGAAUUUAUAGAAUCUUUUGACAUGAAGCAACAGAGCUGCAGUCAAGACUGAAGUCAAAAGAAAUUUAGAUCCUGUCUGGGCAAACAGACCUCUAAGCAACAAUCUAAGAUUUCCCCCUAUUGUUCUGGGGUUCCUUGUAUAAAUGAUUAUGACUGCAGAGAUCUUAUGAAGUGCUGUGGUACCUUUAGAUGUGGCCUGAGGUACACACAUCUCUUAUGAUUGACCCUGUGUUUUUCAAUUCGCCUCCACAAUCUAAGGCAUAAAUAUUGGAUGGAGAAAUGGAAUCAGACGGAGGCAUCAUUGAGCUUAUUCUUCUUGACUCAUCUCAGUCCAAACAUUACUCUCUCAAGUGUUGUUCUUAAAAUCUGCAUAUUAAAAGCUCAGCAUCAUCUA